rnacentral:misc_RNA from 1 species
GAUGAAGAACGCAGCGAAAUGCGAUAAGUAAUGUGAAUUGCAGAAUUCAGUGAAUCAUCGAAUCUUUGAACGCACAUUGCGUCCGGUAGUAUUCUGCCGGGCAUGCCUGUUCGAGCGUCAUUUCAACCAUCAAGCCCCAGCGCUUGUGUUGGGGGCCUGCGGCUGCCGCAGCCCCCUAAAAGCAGUGGCGGGCUCGCUAUCACACCGAGUGCAGUAGUUCAUCUUCUCUCCGGUCUUGUGAGGCGGGUUCCGGCCGUGAAACACCCCACUACAUUCAAGGUUGACCUCGGAUCAGGUAGGAAUACCCGCUGAACUUAAGCAUAUCAAUAAGCGGAGGA